ACGGCAGACAAAUGGCAGAGCCGGGAUUCACACGUAGUUUGUGACACUGGAACCGACUUUACGAUGCCAGGCUUGUAAGACCCGUGAUGAUCUUUGAAAAUACGAUGAAUACCCACCUGCCUGGGUCGAGCUUGGGUGCGACUACUUGGAG